CAGCAGCCGCGGUAAUACCGAGGGUGCAAGCGUUAAUCGGAAUUACUGGGCGUAAAGCGCGCGUAGGUGGUUUGUUAAGUUGGAUGUGAAAGCCCCGGGCUCAACCUGGGAACUGCAUCCAAAACUGGCAAGCUAGAGUACGGUAGAGGGUGGUGGAAUUUCCUGUGUAGCGGUGAAAUGCGUAGAUAUAGGAAGGAACACCAGUGGCGAAGGCGACCACCUGGACUGAUACUGACACUGAGGUGCGAAAGCGUGGGGAGCAAACAGGAUUAGAUACCCCCGUAGUCCCUGUCUCUUAUAC
rnacentral:rRNA from 1 species